rnacentral:lncRNA from 1 species
AAAUAAGUGGGAGGAGAUGAAGAGACUACCCUAAGAAAAAAAUUAAAGGUUAAGAGUUGAAAAGAUCGGACCAAUGGGAUGCAAUCCAACAGACAAGAAUGUCAUAUAGAAACUCAUUUUCCUUUGGACUUUGAUAAGUAACAAGCAAUGAGCAAUAAGCAGUAGGCAAUAUCCAAGCAUCAUGUGAAGAUCAAGACAUCAAAUAAAUAUAGCCAUGUCAUCCAAGAAAGCAUUCCAAUAGCUAGCAGUAUUCAAU